rnacentral:rRNA from 1 species
CAGUCGCCACGGUAAUACGUAGGUGGCAAGCGUUGUCCGGAUUUAUUGGGCGUAAAGCGAGCGCAGGCGGUCAAUUAAGUCUGAUGUGAAAGCCCCCGGCUCAACCGGGGAGGGUCAUUGGAAACUGGUUGACUUGAGUGCAGAAGAGGAGAGUGGAAUUCCAUGUGUAGCGGUGAAAUGCGUAGAGAUGUGGAGGAACACCAGUGGCGAAGGCGACUCUCUGGUCUGUAACUGACGCUGAGGAGCGUAAGCGUGGGGAGCGAACAGGAUUAGAUACCCGCGUAGUCCCUGUCUCUUAUAC